CCUACGGGUGGCAGCAGUGAGGAAUAUUGGUCAAUGGACGAGAGUCUGAACCAGCCAAGUAGCGUGAAGGAUGACUGCCCUAUGGGUUGUAAACUUCUUUUAUAUGGGAAUAAAAUGUUCCACGUGUGGGUUUUUGUAUGUACCGUAUGAAUAAGGAUCGGCUAACUCCGUGCCAGCAGCCGCGGUAAUACGGAGGAUCCGAGCGUUAUCCGGAUUUAUUGGGUUUAAAGGGUGCGUAGGUGGAUUGUUAAGUCAGUUGUGAAAUUUUGCGGCUCAACCUUAAAAUUGCAGUUGAAACUGGUAGGCUUGAGUACAGUAGAGGUGGGCGGAAUUCGUGGUGUAGCGGUGAAAUGCUUAGAUAUCACGCAGAACUCCGAUUGCGAAGGCAGCUCACUGGACUGCAACUGACACUGAGGCUCGAAAGUGUGGGUAUCAAACAGGAUUAGAUACCCCAGUAGUC
rnacentral:rRNA from 1 species